GACGAACGCUGGCGGCGUGCUUAACACAUGCAAGUCGAACGGAAAGGCCCUGCUUUUGUGGGGUGCUCGAGUGGCGAACGGGUGAGUAACACGUGAGUAACCUGCCCUUGACUUUGGGAUAACUUCAGGAAACUGGGGCUAAUACCGGAUAGGAGCUCCUGCUGCAUGGUGGGGGUUGGAAAGUUUCGGCGGUUGGGGAUGGACUCGCGGCUUAUCAGCUUGUUGGUGGGGUAGUGGCUUACCAAGGCUUUGACGGGUAGCCGGCCUGAGAGGGUGACCGGCCACAUGGGGACUGAGAUACGGCCCAGACUCCUACGGGAGGCAGCAGUGGGGAAUAUUGCACAAUGGGCGGAAGCCUGAUGCAGCAACGCCGCGUGCGGGAUGACGGCCUUCGGGUUGUAGACCGCUUUCGCCUGUGACGAAGCGUGAGUGACGGUAAUGGGUAAAGAAGCACCGGCUAACUACGUG
rnacentral:rRNA from 1 species